CUGAGGCGGGCCGGCCCGACCUCCUCGGUGGGUCGGCCCCGAGACGUGUGAGGCUGACGGUUGAUGCUGGAAAAUAAAAGCCCGGGGCGGGGGAGGGGCGCGAGCUUCAAGGGGGUCGCGGCGGCGGUGGCGGCGGCGGCGGCGGCGGCCGCGGCGGCGCACCUGGGCGAGUAGGUGGGCUAGAUGCCCCGCUCCCGCCGAGCCCGGGACUGGUGGGGACCUGGGCGCUGGAAGAAGCUUUGCCACCUGCUCCGUUAGCUGCCGGGGAGGGGAGCAGAAGUCAGUCAAAAUAUGCUGGUUCCCUUUCUGUUCACACUAUGUAUUUACAGCAGUAGGUCACAUCUGCGACCAAGUUUCAACUGUUCCCUUGUCUCUUCCUCUCCAGAAAUUUUAAAAUGCUCACUGCAGCUCUCCCUUCAUCUAUUAGCGCUGUUCAAUAUAAAUAUAAUGCGAGGUGCAGAUGCAGGCCGCUUAUGUAAUUGUAAAUAUUCCAGAGUCACAAUAUAAACGAGUAAAAAGUGAAAUUAAAUUUAAUAUAUUUCAUUUAACCCAAUAUAGCCAAAGUGGUAUCAUUUUGUCAUGUAAUUAAUAUAAAAAUAUGAAUAAUUUCUCAGUUGAAAUUCAACGUAUUUUACACUUAGGGCACAUCUCAUUUGAGAUUAGGUUCAUUUAAGUGCUUUAAGGAACAUGUGGCUAGUGUCUAUCACGGUACAACACAUUUGUAGUAAUUUGGAUGUGAAUUCUUGUUUUUGUCAGGCCUUAAGACACCAAUGCCAAGGGAAGGAAGAGUAUGAGUAAUAAAGAGGGAAAAAUAAAUUUCUUUACUGUUGGGUUGAACCAUUUCUACAAAUUCUGAUUUUAGCCCUCUGAGUUAAAUAGUGUUUAAUGCUUUUCCAUCUUUCAGGACCAGAAUCAUUUCAGGGUCAAAAAACACUGAUUAGUCAUUUUCUCAACUCACCAACAAAACAUUAUUCUUCAUCUCAAUGAAUAAGAAAAAUGGCUUUAAUAAGGAAAAGCAUGAAUAAAUGAUUCAUGCUGCCGUUAGACAAUAUUACAUUUAAAAUUUGUGGUGUGUACCUGUAGUCCCAGCCCUCAAGAGGCUGAGGCAAGAAGAUCAAAAGUUCGAGGCCAGCCUGGCCCACAUAGGGAGUUCAAAGCCAAUCUGGACUACAUAGUAAGACCCUGUCUCAAAAAAUGAAAACAAUAACAAAAAUUAAGUUUUGCUCCUAACAUUUUGAAAUCCAUUGUUGUAUGUAGUUAUCAGUCUUCUGCCCUGCACUACUGUAUUACAUAGAAGGGCUCCAUAAACUAUACUUAAAAACUCAAAGACUAUUCCUGAAUGCUUUAUUGACUUAGAUGUCCUGACUUUGUCCCAAACAUUUGUUUGUACUCAUCACCUUUUUGUUUCCUCUUGUACCAUAGGUAUUGGAUAACACCUUUUCUAACACUACGGACUUUUCCUAUGUCAAGCUUUGUUGUCCCACAUCCUUCCACUAUGAUGUUCCUAUCUUGGAACCAGCCAACCAUGGACUGAACCUUAUCAAAUCAUGAACCAAAUUAAACCUCUUCUCCUUUAAAUUGCAGUUGUUGAGUAUCUUGUACCAGCAACAGGGCCUGGACUUUAUUUUGAGUGUGUACUUUUAAAAUUCUGCCUAAUAAGCCUCCUUAUGCCCCUUACUGAUGCAUCUUGAAAAUUCAUUUUCUGACUGGGUGUGAUUGUGCACACUGGUAAUUCCAGCACUUGGGAGGCUGAGACAGGAGGAUCGCCAAGUUCAAUGCCAGCCUGGGCUACAUAGUGAAUUCAAAGUCAGCCUGAAUUAUGUUGCAAGACCCUGUCUCGAGAAGAGAAGAGAAGAGAAGAGAAGAGAAGAGAAGAGAAGAGAAGAGAAAAGAAGAAAAAGUUAAUUUUCUGUAAUGGAAGCCAGGGAACCUACAACUUUCAUCUCUGCUUUGGGCUUCUUCUGGCCCUGACCAGUGAAAAAUAAAGAUAGAGAGCAGAUUAGCAGUUAACAGGGAUCAAUAGGGGAUGGGGUUUGGAGGAGAGUAGGUGUGGUUAUUAAAGUGUAGGUACGAUCAUGAAUCCUUGUGAUGGAACUAUUCUGUUCUUGACUGUAAUGGUGGCCACACAAAUCUGUACAUGUGUUAAAAUUACAUAGAUCUACCCGACUUCGAUCCCUGGUACCAAUAAAUAAAUAAAUAAAUAAAA